CCUACGGGUGGCAGCAGUGAGGGAUAUUGGUCAAUGGACGAGAGUCUGAACCAGCCAAGUAGCGUGAAGGAUGACUGCCCUAUGGGUUGUAAACUUCUUUUAUAUGGGAAUAAAAUGUUCCACGUGUGGGAUUUUGUAUGUACCAUAUGAAUAAGGAUCGGCUAACUCCGUGCCAGCAGCCGCGGUAAUACGGAGGAUCCGAGCGUUAUCCGGAUUUAUUGGGUUUAAAGGGAGCGUAGGUGGAUUGUUAAGUCAGUUGUGAAAGUUUGCGGCUCAACCGUAAAAUUGCAGUUGAAACUGGCAGUCUUGAGUACAGUAGAGGUGGGCGGAAUUCGUGGUGUAGCGGUGAAAUGCUUAGAUAUCACGAAGAACUCCGAUUGCGAAGGCAGUUCACUGGACUGCAACUGACACUGAGGCUCGAAAGUGUGGGUAUCAAACAGGAUUAGAUACCCGAGUAGUC
rnacentral:rRNA from 1 species